AGGCUGCGGACAUACCAUAGAACAAAAGGGUAUCUUUGAUCGCUGUCUCUCCUAGGUCACUUGUUCUUCCCACUCUUCAAGCUUCGACCACCAUUCAACCAUGCCGCCAAAGCGAAAACUGGAUUCCAAACCCACCGACACACAACCCAACAAGCAGCAACACAUUGAAGAAGAGGAACAAAACCCUUCUGAUCCAGAAGAGUACGAAGAAGUAGAAGAAGAAGAAGUAGACGAAGAACAAGAAGAAGAAGAAGAAGAAGAAGAGGAGGAGGAAGAAGACGAUGAUGUCGUAUCCGAUGUCAACCAGACAAUCGGCGGGGAAGCCGUCGAAGACAACGACGAGCCCUUCCAGAACCUCCUGGAACCCUUAUCCAAAGACCAGCUGAUCAGCCUCCUCUCGUCGGCGGCCGAAACCCACGCCGACGUGGCGAACAACAUUCGCGUGAUCGCGAACAAGGACCCGUCCCACCGCAAAGUCUUCGUCCACGGCCUCGGCUGGGACGCCACCACCGAAACCCUAACCGGCUUCUUCUCCCAGUACGGCCAGAUCGAGGACUGCAAGGCCGUCGUCGACAAGGCCACUGGAAAAUCCAAGGGCUACGGCUUCAUCCUCUUCAAAACCCGCGCCGGGGCCCGGAAUGCUCUGAAAGAGCCCCAGAAGAGGAUCGGCACGAGGCUGACCUCGUGCCAGCUGGCUUCGCUGGGCCCUGUGCCCUUGGGCGCGGCGGCUCCGACACCGGCUGCUGCUGAGUCGGCGUCAGAGUACACGCAAAGGAAGAUAUACGUAAGCAAUGUUUCUGCAGACCUGGAUCCGCAGAAACUGCUCACGUUCUUCUCGAAGUACGGGGAGAUUGAGGAGGGGCCGUUGGGGAUAGAUAAGCAGAGUGGGAAGUUUAAGGGGUUUUGUUUGUUUGUGUAUAAUGCGAUUGAGAGUGCGAAGAAGGCUUUGGAGGAGCCUCAUAAGAAUUUCGAAGGGCACGUGCUGCAUUGCCGGAAGGCGAUUGACGGGCCGAAAAUAAACAAGGCGCUAUUGAACCCUAAAUCGCGCUUCCAGAGGAAUGACAAUGCAGCCACUGGGCAUUUGAUGGCGCCGGCAGCAGCACCCGUGGUUCAGUAUAACCAGGGAGUGGCGGCUGCAGCUGCACAAGCUCUAACGCCUGCUCUUGGGCAGGCGUUGACGGCAUUGCUUGCGAAUAACUUGUUUGGUGGCCUGGGGACAGCUGGGGUGGGUGCUGGAGUGAACCCGGGUGGAGUACAGGGUGGAUAUGGAUAUGGGAACCAGGGUAUGGGCAGUGGUACGGGAGGCUAUGGGAAUCAGGUUGGGUAUCAAAACCAGCAGACUGGACAAGGAGGUUCUGGUCGGGGACAGCAUGGAGCUGGGCACAUGGGUGGCAUUGGACCUUACAAAGGUGAUUGCAGGUGUAUUCCAGCAAAAUAAUGAUGCCUGGAAAGGGAACGAUAACACUAUCAAGAAAAACUAUUGCAGAAAAAGGAAAUCCUAGAAAUCCCCGUAGGUGCAUAAAUCUUUUUGAACUGGCCCGGUGAUUCAUCUGAAGUUUCAGGAGCUCAUGCAAAAGUCAUGUUUAUAUUUAUGAGAAAAAUCCUCAUUGCUACUACAAAGAUCAGUCUUUGUAUGGCCAAAAUGGGUUUACUGAUUUCUACUUUCAAUUUUCUCUCUACUGUUCGUUUUGAAAUAACUUAAAACUGUGGGGUUCUGGUUGAGUGCUUUUUCGUAUUGGACUUUGUUCAUGUGAAAUACUAUAUUUUGUUCUCGUUUUAUUUUUUUCCUUUUUGAGAUACCUAAUGUCACUGAAGCAACUAAGCUAGUAAGCUAAUAUGGUAGCAUGGUGUGUUCCUUGGAUGUUUUUGAUAACUUCUGUUUAUGAAAUCUCAAAUCUCUCUUGUGAUUUUUCACUUA